UGGCUUAGUGGUAAAGAAUCCGCCUGCGGUGCAGAAGCUGCAGGUUCAAUCCCUGC
rnacentral:tRNA from 1 species